GCGACACUGGUGCCAGUGGACGCGGUACUGCAGAAGGUGCAAAGGUGUCUCGGAAUCACUAGGCGUGAAUGGCGUGCAGGCGGGAAGGAAAGUCAGAUGUGAAAUCCCUGGGCUCAACCCAGGAACUGCAUUUGAAACUCCCGUGCUUGAGUACCGGAGAGGAAAGUGGAAUUCCUGGUGUAGAGGUGAAAUUCGUAGAUAUCAGGAGGAACACCGGUGGCGAAGGUGGCUUUCUGGACGGUAACUGACGCUGAGACGCGAAAGCGUGGGGAGCAAACAGGAUUAGAUACCCGGGUAGUC
rnacentral:rRNA from 1 species